rnacentral:rRNA from 1 species
GGUCCCGCCUGCCCUGUGACAAUGUUUAACGGCCGCGGUAUUUUGACCGUGCGAAGGUAGCGUAAUCAUUUGUCUUUUAAAUGAAGACCCGUAUGAAAGGCAUCACGAGAGCUUAACUGUCUCUAUUUUCUAAUCAAUGAAAUUGAUCUUCUCGUGCAGAAGCGAGAAUAUAUACAUUAGACGAGAAGACCCUAUGGAGCUUUAAACACUUAAAUUAAUUAUGUAAAAACUAUUAAUCCACGGAGACAAAUUACUUAUAUAAUAUUUCUAAUUUAACUGUUUUUGGUUGGGGCGACCGAGGGGAAAAUAAAAUCCCCCUUAUCGAUUGAGUACUUAGUACUUAAAAAUUAGAACGACAGUUCUUUUUAAUAAAACAUUUAACGAAAAAUGACCCAGUUUUUCUGAUCAAUGAACCAAGUUACCCUAGGGAUAACAGCGCAAUCCUUUCCAAGAGUCCAUAUCGCCGAAAGGGUUUACGACCUCGAUGUUGGAUCAGGACAUCCUAAUAGUGCAACCGUUAUUAAGGGUUCGUUUGUUCAACGAUUAAUAGUCCUACGUGAUCUGAGUU